rnacentral:rRNA from 1 species
UGGGGAAUAUUGCACAAUGGGGGAAACCCUGAUGCAGCGACGCCGCGUGAGUGAAGAAGUAUUUCGGUACGUAAAGCUCUAUCAGCAGGGAAGAAAAUGACGGUACCUGACUAAGAAGCCCCGGCUAACUACGUGCCAGCAGCCGCGGUAAUACGUAGGGGGCAAGCGUUAUCCGGAUUUACUGGGUGUAAAGGGAGCGUAGACGGCAGCGCAAGUCUGGAGUGAAAUCCCAUGGCUUAACCAUGGAACUGCUUUGGAAACUGUGCAGCUAGAGUGCAGGAGAGGUAAGCGGAAUUCCUAGUGUAGCGGUGAAAUGCGUAGAUAUUAGGAGGAACACCAGUGGCGAAGGCGGCUUACUGGACUGUAACUGACGUUGAGGCUCGAAAGCGUGGGGAGCAAACAGG